GAACGCGAAGAACCUUACCCACCUUUGACAUGUAUGGAAUUUGCCAGAGAUGGCUUAGUGCUCGAAAGAGAGCCAUAACACAGGUGCUGCAUGGCUGUCGUCAGCUCGUGUCGUGAGGUGUUGGGUUAAGUCCCGCAACGAGCGCAACCCUUGUCAUUAGUUGCUACAUUUAGUUGGGCACUCUAAUGAGACUGCCGGUGACAAACCGGAGGAAGGUGGGGAUGACGUCAAGUCCUCAUGGCCCUUAUAGGUGGGGCUACACACGUCAUACAAUGGCUGGUACAGAGGGUUGCCAACCCGCAAGGGGGAGCUAAUCCCAUAAAGCCAGUCGUAGUCCGGAUCGCAGUCUGCAACUCGACUGCGUGAAGUCGGAAUCGCUAGUAAUCGCGGAUCAGCAUGUCGCGGUGAAUACGUUCCCGGGUCUUGUACACACC
rnacentral:rRNA from 1 species